CCUGUGUACCACUUUCCAGGGCGAGAAUUGAACACUGUCAGCAUCUCAGGAGCCUUUCCUCCCGCUUCUCAAUCACGGAGUCUCCUCUCCUCACUGCCAAAGAUGCUCUUUAUCCUUAUGCCUAAUCCUGGAGUUUAGUUUUUCAAGUUUUUAUAAAUGGAGUCAUUUUUCUGCCUGAUUAUGGAAUUGUAUCUGCUUACAUCACUCAACAGUGUGAUGGCGAGGUUCCCCCAUUGCAUACAACAGUAUCUCAUUUAUUGUUGGUAUACCAGUAAUUGCAUUGUAUGACGGACUAUUCCACAAUUUUACUUACCCAUAUUACUCCCGACACACAUUUAGGUUGUUUCCAAUUAUAACUAUAAUAAAUAUUGUUAUUUAUUAUAAUAUGAACAUUAUUUUUUCUUUUCCAUUGCAGUUUAUGACAAGAUAUUGAUGAUAAUCCCCUGUGCUAUACAGUAGGAACUUUGUGGUUUAUUUAAUAUAUAGGAAAGUGUAUUUGUUAAUCCCUAAUUUAUCCCAUCCUCCCUUUCUCCUUCUGUAAUCAUAACUUUGUUUUCUAUGUCUGUGAGCCUGUAGCUGUUGUGUAAAUAAGUUACCACGACCAUUCUUAAACAGUCUCUUAAGGCACAUGCACACACAUAUCUGUUGGAUAACUAGUAGGAGUGAAAUCUCAACACCAUAGAGUAUACAUACAUUAACGAUAAUAGAUGAUUAGUAAUUGCACCCGCAGUAUACAAAACUCCUUGUCGUUCCAGGAACUCUCCAAUAUUUGGUAUUGUCAGUCAUUGUCACUUUAGCCACUCUAGGAUACACACUAUACCUCAUUGUACAUUUAAUGUGCAAUUUCUUGAUAAAUAAUAAAGCAAAGCACUUUUCUAUGUAUGUUUAUUUGCCAUUGGAUAUCCUCUUUUGAGAUCUAUCUAUGUUGCAUGCAUCAAUAUUUUACUACCUUUUAUUUCUGAAUAACAUUCCAUAGUACAGAGAUAUCACAAUUUUUUAUUAUUUGUUUAUUCAUUCACCACUUGAUGGCCAUUUAAGUUGUUUUCAUUUUUAAGCAUCUAUGAAUAAUACUGCUCAGUACAUUCUUGCACAUAUAAUAUGCACAAAUGUUCCAUUUCUCUUGUUUAAAUAACUAUAAUAAUGGGAUUUAUUAUAUGUUAAGUACGUAUUUUACAAAGUAGUUGUGCCAAUUUUGCAUUCCCACUAACUACAUUAUCUCACAUUCUCACCAACAUUUGGUAUUAUUAGUUGUUUUAACUUCAAUCAUUCUAAUAAUGUGUGAAAAUACCUCAUUUGGAAUUUCAUUUUGCAUUUUGCUGAUAAUCAAGGCUGUAAAACCUCUUUUUCAUGUGCUUACUGGCUGUUUUCAUUUGUGAAGUAUCUGUUCAAAUCUUCAUAUACUUUUAAAUUAGGUUGUUUUCUAAUUAUUGGGUUAUAAAUAUCCACUGUACAUUCUAGAUACAAAGCCUUUGUCAGAUAUAUGUUUAGGAAAUAUGUAUUUAUGCCAUUGACUUUGGUUUGUUUGGUUUAUUGGUUUUUUCCUUGGUUUUUUGUUUUUUGUUUGUUUGUUUGUUUGUCAUUUCAGGGCCAAACCUGCAGCAUACGGAGGUUCCCAGGCCAGGGGUCCAAUGGGAGCCAGAGCCACAGCAACACCAGAUCUGAGCCAUGUCUGCUACCUAUACCACAGCUCACAGCAACGCUGGAUCCUUAACCCCCUGAGCAAGGCCAGGAAUCGAACCUGCAACCUUAUGGUUCCUAGUUGAUUUGUUUCCAAUGCACCACGACGGGAACUCCCGCCAUUGACUUUUAAAUUUUCAAUCUAAUAUGUGUAUUUAAGGAUCUAAAUUAUCCCUUAAAUACAGCUUUAACUGAAUCCCACAAUAUUUGAUAGUAAAAUAUUACUUAUCAUUCAUUUCAAAAUAUCUAUUAUUUUCUAUUAUGAGAUCUUCUUCGAUCCGUAGAUAAAUUGGAGUGUAUUCACUUUCAAGAGUGAAGGUUUUCCAGUUAACUUUUUAUUGUAAUUUAUAGUUAAUAGUUUAACUGCUCUGUAUUCGGUGAAAUUUUCUACACAACUUCAGUCUUUUGAAAUUUGUUGAAACUUACUUUAUGGCCUUGCAUAUGAUCAAUUUAUGUAAAUGUUUCAUGUGUACUUUGAAAUAAUGUAUAUUUUAUAGUUGGCUAUAGUUUCUACAUCUCUAAUUAGGUAGUAUUCAUGUUUUUCAAAACUUUUAUUUCUUUAUUGUUUUUUCGUCUGCUUGCCCAAACUUUUUUUUUUGAGAGGCAUUUAAAAUUUUUCUGUUAUGAUUGGGAAUUUUUCCACUUCUGUUAAUUUUUGCUUUAUAUAUCUAUGUUAUUAAAUAUACACAAAAAAGAAUUUUUAUAUCUUCUUGGUAAAUUUUUCAUUUUAUUAUUUUGAACGCUCCAACUUUAACUUGCUUGUUUUUGCCUAAAAGUAUAUAUUACCUGGUAUGUAAACAAGUAUGUAUAAGUUUUCUUGAGGUUACAGUUUGCACAAUAUAUCUUCUCUCUCAUUUUUUUCCACUUUUAAUUUUAUAUUAUUGAUUCAUUUCUUAUGUGCUACAUAUAAUUAACUUUUUAUCACAUCUGAGCAAACUUUGUGUUCUAACUGGAGAAUUAGUUUACAUACAAUUCAUACAAUUAAUGACUAUUUAGGUUCAUUUUAUAAUUAUUAAAGUAUGGUUGAUUUACAAUGUUUUUUCAAUUUCUGUUGUACAGCAAAGUGACCCCAUCACACACAGUUCCCUGUGUUGUACAGUAGGAGCCCAUUGUCCUUCCAUUUCAAAUGAUAGAGUUUGUAUCCACCAACCCAAAACUCCCCUUCCAUCCAAUUCCCUCCCUUCUCCCCAACAAGUCUGUUCUCUAUGUAUGUGAUCUGUUUCUGUUUUGUAGGUAGGUUCAUUUGCGCCAUAUUUUAAAUUCCUCAUGUAAGCGAUGUCAUAUGGUAUUUGUCUUUCUCUUUCUGACUUACUUAACUUUGUAUGAGAAUCUCUAGUUCCAUCCAUGUUGCCACAAAUGACAUUAUUUUGUUCUUUUUUAUGACUGAGUAGUAUUCCAUUGCAUAUAUGUACCACAAUUUCUUAAUCCAGUUAUCCGUAGAUGGACAUGUAGGUCAUUUCCAUAUCUUGGUUACUGUGAAUAGUGUUGUGAUGAACAGAGGAAUGCAUGUUUUUUUUUUAAGAUUUUUAUUUUUUUCUAUUAUAAUUGAUUUACAAUGUUCUGUCAAUUUCUGCUGUACAGCAAAGUAACACAGUCAUAGACAUAUAUACAUAUACAUUUUUCUCACAUUAGCUUCCAUCAUGUUCCAUCACAAGUGACUAUAUAUAGUUCCCUGUGCUAUACAGUAGGAUUUCAUUGCUUAUCCACUCCAAAUGCAAUAGUUUGCAUAUACUAAGCCCAAACUCCCAGUCCAUCCCAGUCCUUCCCCUCCUUGGCAAUGGGGUGCAUGUGUUUUUUGAAUUAAUGUUUUGUCUGAAUAUAUGCCCAGGAGUGGGAUUGCUGGAUAAUAUGGUAGUUUUAUAUUUAGUUUUCUGAAGAAACUCCAUACUGUUUUCCUUAGUGGUUGUACCAAUUUACAUUCCCACCAAGAGUGAAGGAGGGUACCCUUUUCUCCACACCCUCUCCAGCAUUUGUUAUUUGUUGACUUGUUAAUGACGGCCAUUCUGACAAGUGUGAAGUUGCACCUCAUUGUAAUUUUGAUUUGCAUUUAUCUAAUAAUUAGUGAUAUUGAUCAUUUUUUCAUGUGCCCGUUUGCCACCACUUCUAUUAUCAUACUCAGCCCCUUCUAUUUGUUUCAUUUAUUCUUCAUUGUUUUUUCAUCUUUCUUUUUUGGGUAAUGCAUUUUUAUUAUUCCAUUUUUUUCUCACUAUUCUCUUAAUAGUAAUAUCUACCCUUGCAGUUCUUUCAGUGGUUUCCUUAAAGAUGACAGUACUCAUCCCCAGGUUGUCAAAGUCUAAUGUUGCUUGGCACUUUUUCUCUUUUCCAGAUCAAUGCAAAGAACUUGGAAGAUUUCAAUUUCACUCACUCUUCCACUUUUAUGAUAUGGUCAGAUUUUCUCAUAAGGCUCUACUAUUAUUUUUAACAUAGGCAUUAUUUGUUUAAAUCUGUCCAUCUAUUCCUCAUUUUCAUUGUACUUUAUUCCAUUCUGUAUCUCAAAUUUUGAGCCUGAAUAAUCUUCCUUCUGUCUUUGGUGUAGAUUACAGCUGAUAAAUUCUUCCAGUUUGUACUUAUCUGAAAAUGCUCUAUAUCUAUUUUGGGAAGGUAUUUUCACUGAGCAUAGAAUUCUCAGCAGUAGUUACUCACUAUGAAUGCUUUAAAGAUAACAUUUCAUUACUCUAGCUUUCAUUGUUUCUCUUCUGAAGUCAGCUUGUCACUCUAAUAGUUGUUCCCUGGAAAGUAGUUUGCCUUUUUCUCUUUUGAAUGCUAGUAUUAUUUUUUCUUUUUUUUUUUUUUUUCUUUUUUUUGGUGUUCAGAUGUUACAUGAUGACAAGUCUGCAUUGGUUUGUUUGUUAUAUUCCUGCUUGGGCUCUGUUAAAAUGAUUGAAUAUAUGACACUAUGUUUUGCUAACUUUAGAAAAUUCUCAGAUUCAUUCCCUAUCACAUAUUGCUUCUGGCCCAUUAUCUCUCUUCAAUGCUCCAGAGGCUCCAAACCAUUUUUUUUUUCCCACAGUGUUGUUUACACUCUCUCUGCAAUUUCCUAAUUUUAACUCUCCAUGAUUCACUUUGUGUUUGGCAGUUGUAGAUUUUCUUUGUGACUCCUU
rnacentral:lncRNA from 1 species